rnacentral:rRNA from 1 species
GACGAACGCUGGCGGCGUGCUUAACACAUGCGAGUCGAACGGAAAGGCCAUGAUUUUGUGGGGUGCUCGAGAGGCGAAGGGGUGAGUAACACGUGAGUAACAUGCCCCUGACUUAGGGAUAACUUCAGGAAACUGGGGCUAAUACAGGAUAGGAGAUCCUGCUGCACGGGGGGGGAUGGAGAGUUUCGGCGGUGGGGGCUGGACUCGCGGGUUACGAGCUGGUUGGGGGGGUAGUGGCUUACCAGGGUUUUGACGGUUAGCCGGCCUGGGAGCGUGACCGGCCACAUUGCGCCUGCGAUACGGCCCAGACUCCUACGGUAGGCAGCAGUGGGGAAUAUUGCGCAAUGGGCGGGCGCCUGAUACAGCAGCGCCGCGUUCGUGAUGACCUCUUUCGAGUUGUAAACCGCUUUCGCCUGUGACGAAGCGUGAGUGACGGUAAUUGGUAAAGAAGCACCGGCUAACUACGUG